ensembl:snRNA RNU6-1266P RNA, U6 small nuclear 1266, pseudogene
GUGCUCACUUCAGCAGCACAUAUUCUAAAAUUGGAACGAUACAGAGAAGAUUAGCAUGGCCCCUGUAAGGAUGACACUCAAAUUAGUGAAGGAUUCCAUAUUUUA